rnacentral:rRNA from 1 species
AUUGAACGCUGGCGGCAGGCUUAACACAUGCAAGUCGAGCGGAGGUGAGGUGCUUGCACCUUAUCUUAGCGGCGGACGGGUGAGUAAUGCUUAGGAAUCUGCCUAUUAGUGGGGGACAACAUUCCGAAAGGAAUGCUAAUACCGCAUACGCCCUACGGGGGAAAGCAGGGGAUCUUCGGACCUUGCGCUAAUAGAUGAGCCUAAGUCGGAUUAGCUAGUUGGUGGGGUAAAGGCCUACCAAGGCGACGAUCUGUAGCGGGUCUGAGAGGAUGAUCCGCCACACUGGGACUGAGACACGGCCCAGACUCCUACGGGAGGUAGCAGUGGGGAAUAUUGGACAAUGGGCGGAAGCCUGAUCCAGCCAUGCCGCGUGUGUGAAGAAGGCCUUUUGGUUGUAAAGCACUUUAAGCGAGGAGGAGGCUACCUGGAUUAAUACUCUAGGAUAGUGGACGUUACUCGCAGAAUAAGCACCGGCUAACUCUGUGCCAGCCGCCGCUGUAACAC